rnacentral:tRNA from 1 species
ACGCCUCUUUGCACGCCUCGGCACAGGUGCAAAAGAGCUUCUCAUUCUGUAAAGAGGGGUUCGAUUCCCCUAGGGCGUACCA